rnacentral:rRNA from 1 species
CAGCAGUGAGGAAUAUUGCGCAAUGGGCGAAAGCCUGACGCAGCGACGCCGCGUGGAGGAUGAAGGUCUUCGGAUUGUAAACUCCUGUCAGAGGAGAAGAAAGCCCGAGCAAUCGGGUUUGACGGUAUCCUCAGAGGAAGCCCCGGCCAACUACGUGCCAGCAGCCGCGGUAAUACGUAGGGGGCAAACAUUGCUCGGAAUUAUUGGGCGUAAAGGGUGUGUAGGUGGCUGAGCAAGUCAAAGAUGAAAUACCGAGGCUCAACCUCGGAAUUGUUUUUGAAACUGCUCAGCUUGAGGAUAGUAGAGGAGAACGGAAUUCCCGGUGGAGCGGUGAAAUG